AAGGAAUAUUGGUCAAUGGAGGAAACUCUGAACCAGCCAUCCCGCGUGUAGGAAGAAGGCCCUCUGGGUUGUAAACUACUUUUAUCUGGGAAGAAAAGCCUGUAUUUAUGCGGGUCUGACGGUACCAGAGGAAUAAGCACCGGCUAACUCCGUGCCAGCAGCCGCGGUAAUACGGAGGGUGCAAGCGUUAUCCGGAAUUACUGGGUUUAAAGGGUGCGUAGGCGGCGCUGUAAGUCAGGGGUGAAAGGUUCCGGCUCAACCGGAGAAUUGCCUUUGAUACUGCAGUGCUAGGAUUGGGUUGAGGUUGGCGGAAUGUGACAUGUAGCGGUGAAAUGCAUAGAUAUGUCAUAGAACACCGAUUGCGAAGGCAGCCAACUGGACCCUGAUUGACGCUGAGGCACGAAAGCGUGGGGAGCAAAC
rnacentral:rRNA from 1 species